ensembl:snRNA U6 U6 spliceosomal RNA
GUGCUCACUUUGGCAGCACAUAUACUAAAACUGGAACAAUACACAGAAGAUCAGCAUGGCCCCUGCGCCAGGAUGACGUGCAAAUUCAUGAAGAAAAUACUGACUCU